UUUGCAUUGUACUUACUGGAAGACACUGUGUCAAUCUUUAUAACUGUUCACUACACAAACAGCCUUGGAAAGAUAGUUUGGAGCAAAGAUUGGCAGUGCCCUUACUCACAAGAAGUGUAUAAACAUGGAAAACCCAUGGAGAAUUGACUUCAAAUAGCUAUAUCAUCUGUAAAGCAUAAUAUUUUUACUUGGUCUAUAUUUAGUUUAAGAUGCUUUUGAAGGGUAAUGGAGGUUAUGGAUGGGAGAUUCGAGUGGCCCACCCGCAAGGAACUGCUUGAUACUGUGCUAUAAUUUGGUAUUGUC
rnacentral:lncRNA from 1 species